AGUGUUGUUCGUGGGAGUAGUUGUUUUAGCCACUCCCUCUUUCGCAGAUUACUACAAACCGCCUAAGUAUGAGCCUAAGCCACCUUAUUUCAAGCCUCCUAAGGUAGAGAAGCCAUUCCCAGAACACAAGCCUCCAGUCUACAAGCCACCAAAGAUUGAGAAGCCACCAGUCUACAAGCCACCACCAGUCUACAAGCCACCAAUUGAGAAGCCACCAGUCUACAAGCCACCACCAGUCUACAAGCCACCAAUUGAGAAGCCACCAGUCUACAAGCCACCACCAGUCUACAAGCCACCAAUUGAGAAGCCACCAGUCUACAAGCCACCACCAGUCUACAAGCCACCAAUUGAGAAGCCACCAGUCUACAAGCCACCA
rnacentral:lncRNA from 1 species